ACAUUCGGACAAUCGCUGGGAAACUAGAGGAAAGUCCAUGCUCGCACAAUCUGAGAUGAUUGUAGUGUUUGUGUAAGACGAAAAAAUAAGUCUUAGCAGUUUUUACUGACGGCGGAAGAAUCCUAAGGUUUAUACUAUGGAGUAUUCUAUAAAAGUGCCAUAGAGACGAUUGUACUGGAAACAGUAUAGGUGGAACGAGGUAAACCCCACAAGCGAGAAACCCAAAAUUGGUAGGGGCAUUUGACAUAACGAAUUCAAGUAAAUGUCAGAACUUAAUAAUUUAUUAUUAGGUAGAUAAAUGGUUGUCACCGCAAGGUACAGAACAUGGCUUACAGAA
rnacentral:RNase_P_RNA from 1 species